GCUCCUUUAGCACAGUGGUAGUGCGUCCGCUUCGUAAGCGGAAGGUCCUGAGUUCAAUCCUCAGAGGGAGCA
rnacentral:tRNA from 1 species